UGGGGAAUAUUGGACAAUGGGCGAAAGCCUGAUCCAGCCUUGCCGCGUGUGUGAAGAAGGUCUUCGGAUUGUAAAGCACUUUAAGUUGGGAGGAAGGGCAGUAAGCGAAUACCUUGCUGUUUUGACGUUACCGACAGAAUAAGCACCGGCUAACUCUGUGCCAGCAGCCGCGGUAAUACAGAGGGUGCAAGCGUUAAUCGGAAUUACUGGGCGUAAAGCGCGCGUAGGUGGUUCGUUAAGUUGAAUGUGAAAGCCCCGGGCUCAACCUUGGAACUGCAUCCAAAACUGGCGAGCUAGAGUAGGGCAGAGGGUGGUGGAAUUUCCUGUGUAGCGGUGAAAUGCGUAGUUAUAGGAAGGAACACCAGUGGCGAAGGCGACCACCUGGGCUCAUACUGACACUGAGGUGCGAAAGCGUGGGGAGCAAACAGG
rnacentral:rRNA from 1 species